CUGCUCCCCGCUGGUGCUGGGGAACGGGCAGGGGGCUGGCUGCUGCUGCAUCACCCAGCACACGGGGUCAGCAAUGCCCCGGCAUCAUCCCCCGGCCCUGCCGCUGCACGGGGACCCUGCAAGGUCACAGCACCCGUGGGCUCUCACAGAGCUUCUGGGCAAAGCCGGGGUGCCCGAAUGCCUGCACCCAUCCCUGCUGCACCGCCACCAACCCGGCCUGCUGCAACCCCUCGGCACCACAGGGCAGUUUUUUUAUUUAUCUCCCCCCCCCCCCCCCCCCAAUCUCUGCAGAAAAUAAUUAUUGGCCCUCCUCAUCACACCGAGGGAUUAAAAGUGGUUAACUCUAUUUCCAAAGGCUUUGUUACGUCGGUUUUCCCUGGGCUGCUGCACAAGGCGAUUUCCACAGUGCCACUUAGGCAGCUUUUAUCAGGUUGUCUUCUGGAGGUAAUUGGGUUUUUCAGGAGCCUGUUUAAAAUUCGUAACCCGGCCUCUUAAACAAAACAAAAACAGCAGCGGGGAGAAGGGGAAGAGGCAGCACAAAACAGGCAGCAGCUGCAGCUCUGAAGAGCAGCCCUGGCCCCCUUGGGGCUGGCGCCGGGCAGUGACAGGGACGGGGACAGGGACGGGGACAGAGAUGGGGACAGGGAUGAGGACAGGGAUGGGGACAGGGAUGAGGACAGCCACCCGAGUGCUGCAGAAUCAGCUCGGAGCCGACCCUCCUGAGCAAGGUCAGGGCACGCAGAGGGCAGGGACAGCUCCUGCCACCCGCUGUCCUUCCCGCGGUGACACUGUGCUUGUGCGAGGGGGGACCCAGGCUCACUGUCACGCUCGGGGCCGACGCCGCAGCUUCCCCUGCUGCCCUGCACCACCACCAUGGCCCCGCCAGCAGCGGCACCGCAGACCCGGCUGCACCCCUACCACGACCCCUCCGCAGCGCUCUUGCUGAUGGGCCAGCCCUGAGCAUUGGGCUCCUGCCUGCCCAUGGGGCCGGGGGUGCGCAGGGUGCCCCCGGCCCGUCCAUGGCAGCGGUUUGGGUGCUGGCGGCUCCGUGCUGCGGCAGAUGGGUGGCGGGGCCGGGUGGUGGGGCCGCAUGCAAUGAGGGCCGUGCGUGUCCCCCCGGGGGGCUGUUAGCAGGAGCUGUGCGUACAGCUGUGCCUGCAGGGCUGCACGCGCCCGCUCGUCCUGGGCUGGCGUGCCAGCUGGGGUGGCUGCGGCUGGAGGAGCUGGGGGGCAAGGAGGGGCCCGAGCCCGCUGCCUCCAGCCUUUCCCGGCACAGCUGGGAAAUAAAAAAAAAAAACA